GGCCCUUUAGCUCAGUUGGUCAGAGCAAACGACUCAUAAUCGUUAAGUCACUGGUUCAAAUCCAGUAAGGGCCA
rnacentral:tRNA from 2 species